rnacentral:sRNA from 1 species
GCUCAAAUUUGAAAUCUGGCGUCUUCGGCGUCCGAGUUGUAAUUUGUAGAGGAUGCUUCUGGGCAGCCACCGGUCUAAGUUCCUUGGAACAGGACGUCAUAGAGGGUGAGAAUCCCGUAUGCGACCGGACAGGCACCCUCCACGUAGCUCCUUCGACGAGUCGAGUUGUUUGGGAAUGCAGCUCUAAAUGGGAGGUAAAUUUCUUCUAAAGCUAAAUACCGGCCAGAGACCGAUAGCGCACAAGUAGAGUGAUCGAAAGAUGAAAAGUACUUUGGAAAGAGAGUUAAAAAGCACGUGAAAUUGUUGAAAGGGAAGGGUUUGCAACCAGACUUGCUCGCGGUGUUCCGCCGGUCUUCUGACCGGUCUACUCGCCGCGCUGCAGGCCAGCAUCGUCUGGGGCCGCCGGAUAAGACUUUAGGAAUGUAGCUCCCUCGGGAGUGUUAUAGCCUAUUGUGAUGCGGCGCGUCCCGGGCGAGGUCCGCGCUUCGGCUAGGAUGCUGGCGUAAUGGUUGUAAACCGCCCGUCUUGAAACACGGACCAAGGAGUCUAGCAUCUAUGCGAGUGUUCGGGUGUCAAACCCCUACGCGUAAUGAAAGUGAACGGAGGUGGGAACUUUUUGUGCACCAUCGACCGAUCCUGAUGUCUUCGGAUGGAUUUGAGUAAGAGCAUAGCUGUUGGGACCCGAAAGAUGGUGAACUAUGCCUGAAUAGGGUGAAGCCAGAGGAAACUCUGGUGGAGGCUCGCAG